CUCAUCGGCUCGCGAGGUUAGAGGCUGUCGUGCGGAAUGCGUUCGCUCGCGCAAAACAAGCAGCGCUCCGCUGUUUCCAGUAACGACACCCAAAACCCAAAGUUGUUCUGUCCCAACAAUCCUUCACCUCCCAGCGCAGAAGCGACACUAAUGUUUUUUCGGGGGUGUUUCCGCCGAGAGGCUGCGGAGGGGGGUCGUGCGACGGGUGGGAGACGAUGGAGUCGCGCAAAGAACGACGGCCAAAUGCUUCACAGUUGCUCUGCCACCUCCAGCUGCCUCUGCUGGCCUGCGAUCAGAAAGCUGUGAGAAGGCAAGACCCAUCGGCAUCUCCCAACUGGAUCACCUGUCCCCGUCCCUCAAACGUCUGACCCGAAUGACCCAAAGCGCAAGGUUUGGAAGGACGAGCUUCUGGGGACAUCAUCUGAUCGAGCUCCCGACCCACCGAGGCCGACUCUCCGUGCGUGGGCACGUGGCCAGUCCACCCCGCGUCCCUGUGAAAGUCCUCCAGCUUACCUCCUGGGCGAAGGGCCAGAGCUCCAUCCCGCUCACACGAGAAACCGCGGAGGGUCGGUGCGCUUGCUGCAGCUCAGUCCAACCGCAGAGGACCAGCACCGAGACACAAUCACGUGGACGGAGCGCCGUGACCCCCCUGGGAAAGCUCUUCGGCUUUCUCCAUCAAUUUGGAAAGCACAACGUCAACAGCGGCGCUCCCAGACUGGAGACUACAUCUCAGUGUGAGCGUGGGCUGACCGCAGCGGCUCCUGUGCACCAGACCCCGGGUCCAGCAGAAGGCCAGGACUGUGACGUCGGAGCUUCCCCUCCCCGCGCCGCCGCUGCCGCCGCCGGCUAUCUGCGACCCCGCUAAUGACGGCUUCCCUCCGCCCCCG
rnacentral:lncRNA from 1 species